rfam:Luteipulveratus mongoliensis strain MN07-A0370 genome.
GGUCUUGAGUGGCAGCGUGAAGCCCUGGCUUGCUGUCCGGCAACCCUCCGUUCGUGGCGGGGUGCCCCAGGUGACGACCCGGCCGCAUGAACCCGUGCGGCAAGCGCGACGA